UGGACGUGGCGGCGGAUUCGGCGGAGGAAGGAGCUUUGAUGGAGGUCACGGUGGUGGAAGAGGAUUUGAUGGAGGGCGCGGUGGAAGAGGGGGUAGGGGUUUUGACGGUGGGCGGCGCGGUGGACGAGGCGGCGGCGCCGGGUUUGCGAAGCCGCGUGAUGAUUUGGAUAACAUUGCCCUCCCGAAACAGAAUUUCCAAGGAAUUCUUCCAUUUGAGAAGAAUUUUUAUGUGGAGAGUCCUGCCGUGCAGGCUAUGACGGAGCAGGAGGUUAUGGAUUACCGCCUGAAACGCGAUAUUACCGUUGAAGGGCGUGAUGUGCCGAGACCAGUUCGUUCAUUUCAAGAAGCUAACUUCCCAGAUUACUGUCUCCAGGUGAUAGCACAAAGUGGUUUUGUUGAACCAACAUCCAUCCAAUCCCAAGGGUGGCCCAUGGCCUUGAAGGGUAGAGAUCUAAUUGGUAUUGCAGAGACUGGUUCCGGGAAGACACUGGCAUAUCUAUUGCCAGGUUUGGUGCAUGUUAAUGCACAACCUCGCUUGGUCUAUGGGGAUGGUCCUAUUGUUCUGGUCUUGGCACCUACAAGAGAACUUGCUGUUCAGAUACAAGAACAAGCUGUGAAGUUUGGAGCACGUUUUAAGGUCCGGAGCACGUGUAUCUAUGGGGGAGCCCCGAAAGGGCCUCAGAUUCGUGAUCUUAAAAGAGGGGUUGAAAUUGUUAUUGCAACGCCUGGUCGGCUGAUUGAUAUGUUGGAGGCUGGCCACACAAACUUGCGUAGGGUGACCUAUUUGGUAUUGGAUGAGGCUGAUCGCAUGCUGGAC
rnacentral:misc_RNA from 1 species